UACGAAGGGAGCUAGCGUUGUUCGGAAUCACGUUGGGCGUAAAGCGCACGUAGGCGGACGUGUCAGUCAAGGGGUGAAAGUCCCGGAGCUCAACUUCGGAACUGCCUUUGAUACAGCACGUCUUGAGUCCGGAAGAGGUGGGUGGAAUUCCUAGUGUAGAGGUGAAAUUCGUAGAUAUUAGGAAGAACACCCGUGGCUAAGGCGGCUCUCUAGUACGUGACUGACGACUGAG
rnacentral:rRNA from 1 species